GCUGGGCGUGGUGGUACACACCUGUAAUCCUAGUGGCUCAGGAAGCUGAGGCAGGAGGAUCCUGAGUUCAAAGCCAGCCUCAGCAACAGUGAGGUGCUAAGCAACUCAAGGAGACCCUGUCUCUA
rnacentral:sRNA from 1 species